GCAAAUGAAAAAAUCUCAGAAAAUAACGAAGAGACUUGUGAAAUUAGAAAGUGAAGCUUUCACUUUCCUCCCCCCUGUAUCUCCGUCUCCGGCUUCAGCGAUUGAGCUCUCUUCUCCACUAAAAAAUUUAAUUGAUCCUGGCCAUAAGUGAUGUCGUCGGAGCAUUUUCCGUUGGUGUACCUCUCCUAGGUGAUCUCUAAUUCUUUUUAUUUUUAUCCAUUUUCCGAAAUGUUCUCUCAUUUUUUCUUUCCACUUUGCGAGGAUGAGCUCCUCCUUUAUGUAGAUCCGGAUCUUGAGAGUGUUUGAGGACGAUGAAAUAGCCAAGUAUUAAGACCUCAGGGUCUGUGUUCCCUCCUCUUUGCCGAUGGUGUUGCUGCUUUUCAUCGACCCAAGUUCGGAGCUUUGAAUAUCGAUUGCGAGAGUCCCUGGUUUCCGCUAAGCUGCGGCUAAGGAGAAAACAACCUCCGUCACAAAGUAAUUCGGUGGUAGAUAUGGAAAAGAUAUCCAUGCUAUGGCAGUGGUGGUUUCUUCAUCAGGAUCGAACAUAGGAUCCCACUUCAGGGUGCGCAUAGGAUAAUACCAGUUUUGAUGUGCAAUAUAAAAUGCCGGCUUGGACAAGAGGUUGAUAUAAUCUUCAAGCCAUCCUUACGAGAACUUCCCAAUGACCGCGAACUGCAAAUUCUCCCUUAAUAUCAUCUGAUCAACUUCUUCCUCCCAAACGAUCAUUGGGUCACCAUGUAAGUAAGUGAUUGGUUUUAGAGCAAGCGGGUUUGUUGUAUUGAUGUUUUUGGUGGGUUGUAAGGCUGCUGCAAAGUUCAUGGUUUGCCCAGGGGUUGUAAUCAUUGCUUGAGUUGUGAGUUUUGGCUGAGCAGCCUCCGGUGGAAGCUGUCCAGUGGCCGGAAUGGCCAUAGGACGCCGGAAAAGUUCGAUCUAGUGUAGGGUUGAGGCGGAAUUGACUUUUGUAAGAGGGAGGGGUAAUUAAAAUUUUAAUUGCUUAAAAUUUUAACCUUGCUGCUGAAAUUUUCCCUUCCCCCAUCCGGUCAAGAUUGGUCUUGCUUUAUGCGAGAAAUAAGAAAUUUUUAUUUUUAUA